rnacentral:rRNA from 1 species
UACGUAGGGUGCAAGCGUUAAUCGGAAUUACUGGGCGUAAAGCGUGCGCAGGCGGCUUUGCAAGACAGAUGUGAAAUCCCCCGGGCUCAACCUGGGAACUGCAUUUGUGACUGCAAGGCUGGAGUACGGUAGAGGGGGAUGGAAUUCCGCGUGUAGCAGUGAAAUGCGUAGAGAUGUGGCGGAACACCGAUGGCGAAGGCAGCCCCCUGGGUCAAGAUUGACGCUCAGGCACGAAAGCGUGGGGAGCAAACAGG